AUGCUUUACACAUGCAAGUCGGACGGCAGCGGGGUAGUGCUUGCACUACUGCCGGCGAGUGGCGAACGGGUGAGUAACAUAUCGGAACGUACCGGGCAGUGGGGGAUAACUGAUCGAAAGAUCAGCUAAUACCGCAUAUUUUCUGAGGAAGAAAGCAGGGGACCUUCGGGCCUUGCGCUAUCCGAGCGGCCGAUAUCUGAUUAGCUGGUUGGCGGGGUAAAGGCCCACCAAGGCGACGAUCAGUAGCGGGUCUGAGAGGACGAUCCGCCACACUGGGACUGAGACACGGUCCAGACUCCUACGGGAGGCAGCAGUGGGGAAUUUUGGACAAUGGGCCCAAGCCUGAUCCAGCCAUGCCGCGUGUCUGAAGAAGGCCUUCGGGUUGUAAAGGACUUUUGUCGGGGAAGAAAAGGUCGGGGUUAAUACCCUCGGCUGAUGACGGUACCCGAAGAAUAAGCACCGGUUAACUACGUGCCAGCAGCCGCGGUAAUACGUAGGGUGCGAGCGUUAAUCGGAAUUACUGGGCGUAAAGCGGGCGCAGACGGUUACUUAAGCAGGAUGUGAAAUCCCCGGGCUCAACCCGGGAAUUGCGUUCUGAACUGGGUGGCUAGAGUGUGUCAGAGGGAGGUAGAAUUCCACGUGUAGCAGUGAAAUGCGUAGAGAUGUGGAGGAAUACCGAUGGCGAAGGCAGCCUCCUGGGAUAACACUGACG
rnacentral:rRNA from 1 species